rnacentral:rRNA from 1 species
AACGAACGCUGGCGGCAGGCUUAACACAUGCAAGUCGAGCGCACCGCAAGGUGAGCGGCAGACGGGUGAGUAACGCGUGGGAAUCUACCCAACCCUAAGGAAUAACCCAGGGAAACUUGGACUAAUACCGUAUACGCCCUUUUGGGGAAAGAUUUAUCGGGGAUGGAUGAGCCCGCGUUGGAUUAGCUAGUUGGUGGGGUAAAGGCCUACCAAGGCGACGAUCCAUAGCUGGUCUGAGAGGAUGAUCAGCCACAUUGGGACUGAGACACGGCCCAAACUCCUACGGGCGGCAGCAGUGGGGAAUAUUGGACAAUGGGCGCAAGCCUGAUCCAGCCAUGCCGCGUGAGUGAUGAAGGCCUUAGGGUUGUAAAGCUCUUCAGUAGGGAAGAUAAUGACGGUACCUACAGAAGAAGCCCCGGCUAACUUCGUG